CCUCCAUUCAGAGCAAAGGAAGCAACGCAAAUGCCACUCAACUAUUUGGGCUCCGUGGUCCAUUGGCAAACUCUGGGGGAGCUCACCAAAAUAGCAAGGAACCUUGUGUCACCCUGUGCUGUUCUUAGCCUUUGAGGCGCCACAAGGCUUGCGGUUGUUUUCACUGCAGCAGAGCCUCUGGAAAUCAGAAGAGGACCCACGGACCCCUGCAAAUGUGGCCUCCUUGCUCAAGACAUUGCUCAGAAGGUUUCCACGCUUGCUGCUGCUACUCGCACACCAUCCCCUGGACCUGGAAUUCACCUCCGGGAACAGCCUUCUUGUGGCAGUGGUGGUAAUCAAAGGGCUUCUCUAUGAGCACUGCAAGCCAUGUCCAUGUGAGAGAGGUGUCACGCAUGGACUUGCUGGAAUGACUGCACCAAACUGGCUGGAGCUGGAAAAUCUGUGGGCCCAUCAGCCUUCAUGAUACCACACCAAUUGGUCCCCAUGUAAUCCACACUUGCCCUCCCUUUUGGAAGCAGGUGGGUGGGGAGGAAAGGGGGCUCUGCUUCUGUUCUGCCCUGCCUCCAGCUCCAUGCUUUGGGGGUCCCCACAUUCCUCCAUGGCUGGCACGAGACAAAUGCUUUGCCAUUGCACCUGCAGGGGUCCACAUGAUCAGCAGGAAAAAACCUGUGGCCAAAUUUUGUGGAAAUUAGCUUGUCUGUUCAGUAAGGCUCCUCCGUUGUUCAAGAUGCAAAUACCGUAAAUAGCAUCACUUUAACCCUCUGGAGUACUGCUGGAAGACACAUCUCCACAGUUGCAACUGACCUUCUGUUGCAUGAAUGAAAGCCAAUCCUAGCAUUCUUGUGGGUGGUGGUGGUGGGAACAAUAACUCUCAGCCACACUCCAGUUCCUCUAGCAUUCAACACAGCAUCACAUCAGGCAGCAUUCAGGCAAGUCACUCAGAAUCUGUUUCUUUAAAAUCACAGAAAUAAGCUGCAUGAAACAGCAGUCUUUUGAAAACUUGUCUGAGGAAUGCAUUGCAAGCCACCCCGAGACGUUCUGUAGGGGACAGGAUAGAAACGCUUUUAAUAAAUAAAUAAAUAAAAUGGAGGCUUGCUGUUAGCUGGGGGAUGCUCAAGAGCCUCUGAGGAGCCUGUUGGCGUUCCCCGUGUGUCUUUGCAGCGGGUGAUGGAUCGUCCACUCUACCCAGUGGCAGAGAGGCUGUGGAGUACCCUGCGCAGGCAACACCCCCAGCGCCUCUGCCUGCUCCUGCCAUCCUGGGUUGGGGGUGUAUGGAGUACUCCGCCUCUAACCUUGCUGUCUUGACAGGAGAGGCUGGUGCGGCCCCGGCCUUCUGGCAAGCUGGCCAGCACCGAAGGAGCGCAGAGGUGACUGGCCACAGCAGAUGACACGGUGGGCUGCCGCCAGCUACUUAACCUGCAAACUGAUGCACAAAGUCAUUUCUGCUGCACAGCUGCCUGAACAAUACAUUUGUCAAUUAAGUUAAUACAAUUAAAUCCCUUGUAUCCAACGGAAAGGGCAGCGCAAAUCCAGGUGAAGGGAAGGAGGGAAUCUUAACAGUCCUCUGAUGCAUCGCCCCUCGGAAGAACAAAGGCAGGGGAAGAGCAUUAUGAAAACAGUGAAAUCCACUGUUAAUUAAUGUGGAGGUACCAGGAGGCUUAUUUAUAGCUCUCUCCAUGGCACCAGGGAGGAUAAAUUAUAAGUCAGUCAGCCAGUGCGGAACUUGGGACUGCACUCGGAAAACAUCCCCUGCCUCUCUGCUGUUUAAAGCAUGCAUGCACCUUACAGUGGAACGGGCAAGGUCUUCAUUUAUGCUCCUUUUAACACUCAGCAUCAGGCUAGUCCAAAGCACCUCCUCCCUCCCCAGUAAGGUUCCUUGUAUUUAUUAUUUCCAAAUCAUUGCUAGGCAGGUAAUUAUUAAACUGAAAUAAGCAGGAUGUUUUUCAUCAAUAACAUCAAAUAGCAGUUCAGGAAGAACAUAUUACUGAGCCAGUGUAUGCAGACUUCUGAGCCUCACAGAACUCUUUACUAGACAGAUGAAGAGUUCUACCUGCAAAGCAGCUCAGUAUUAUUCCCAAAUCUUAUGCAUUCUUCUUUCAAUGGAAGCUGGAGCUUUUCGACAAUUUUAACAGAUUUCAGGGUUUCAUAUUCCCACCGAGAAUUUCUUGCCCACAUUUAUUAUUUUGAAAACUACGUACACAAUUCUAAUCUAAAUUGCCUCCCCCACACCAUAAGAAAAUCCCAUGACUGAUUAACACAGGCAUCAAUCCUCCCUGUAAAUAACAGGCUUUGCAAUAUGUCAUAGAUUAGUAAACAAUCAAAUCCUAAUCACCCAAUUAAAAUGAAAACAUCUAGAAACGUGUCAUCUCAUGACCUCAUAAUUUACUCUGUCUUCUGCUGACAUCACGAUCUGUGCCAUUCCCUGUUCAAUGAAGUUACUGAAUGAGGCGCUCAUCAGUAACAGCAUGGAAGUUGGAGGAAUGGGAGCAGUGCGGAUUAUCCCAUGGCAGUCGGGGUCUAUGGGAAUUACCUUUGCUGGGUUUCAAUGGCCCUUUAACAAUAAUGUGACUUGCAGAAGUUAAGCAAUUAAACUUUUUCUGUUGCUGUACAGAAACCUAAGAGGAGUCCUGCUGGAUCAGACUUAGAAGCUUCUCUUCCUCAGAAUUCAAUUCCUCCAGUGGGAAGCUCACAAGUAAGGUAACGUGAAGGAAGAAAAGGGCAGGAUCUGCACAUGCCAUAUGUGCAAAGACUCUUCCCGCUGGAUGGUCCAGACCAGACAAGUUUGUUCCCUUCCUUGCCCAGGGGUCUUCUCUUCCCUGAGAGCAUUUCUCUUGAAACCCAUGCUUUAUUUACUGGAGUCCCAAAUUCAUGCAGAAGAGGCUCCUCCCUGAGUACCAUUAUGUGUUUAUGGAGGUCUUUCCAGACAGUACUUUGGUGAAGAGGCAAAGGCUGGUGUCGCCCUCGACUACGACCAACCCUAUCAUGAGCAGAGUGAGGCAGUCGCCAAGUCAGCAGAUGCCUGGUGAGGGCAGUACUGUGAGGUCGGUUUUCAUACCUGGAAUAGAAGGGCGCCACUUUGCCCUCUACCUCAAAUGCAUUCACUGGUUCACUGCACAUGCAUUAAAAUCUCGGGAAAGGGCUCAUCCAGUGCAUCGCCAUGGGCAUUUGCUGCCUUACCCUGGUCUGGUCUGCUACCUGGCAGCACUUGCCACAAGAAGCAGUCACUGGGAGCCGCUCUCCACAGAUGGGCCUGCUUGUCCCACAGUGCCCAGCCGGGGCCAAAGGCCCGCUGAGCUCCCUUGGCUUUAGAAAUGACUGCAUGGAGGGGGACUGUGCUGUGCAUUCCAGCUUUCGGAGUCCUUCAGGAUGAAUCAUGGCUAUUUUAAGCAGAGUGGCAGACAGCAAAAACGAUUUAUGCAGUAAUAGAGGCGGGGAAUUGCUCAGACUCUGAGGUCUCUGAACAAUAAUCCAUAAUUCAGAAAUUAAUACAUGGUAGCAAAGACAAUGGGAUUUGAAAUAAGCAUUAGUGGCCAAGGCAAAGAGAAACUCGGCAGGCUUGUCAUCUGUGGAUGCUCUGGUUAUACACACACCCAAUUAUAACUUUAGCCGUUACAAGGGAAGCUGACUUAAACCAUUAAAUCUUUAUUACUUCCCCCCACCCUCUGGGGUGUGUGUGUGUGUGUGUGUGUGUGUGUGUGUGUGUGUAGGAGGGGAAAGUGGGAGUAAGGCUUCCUUAAAGAUAGAGAGUUUAAAUUGAGCUUUAAAAUUGUGACUGAGCAAGAUUUAAUGCUGACAAUUAGCCUGGACAAACAGUUAAUCGUCCUGCAGGCAUAAUUUAUAUAUUCUCUGUGCAACAGGGAGAGAUUGUCAGCACAUCGCCCUGCAAAUUAGUGCAAUAAAAGAAUCUCAUAACCUCUAACAGCUUAGCUGCCUGGCAAAGGGAAAGCUUUCCACCACUUUCUCUCUUGCUUCCUUGACCACAAUGAAAUCAGGCCUGGCUGCUGGAGCUCAGGUGUAAUGCUUGAUUUCCCUGGCUACGUCCUUUCCAUUUAACUUCUGCAGUGCCUUCUAUUUGCUCUUCCCGGGAUGGAGCUGUUUUGUCACUAGCAGGGAGCUCAGCACAGCAGGGACUGAUCACACCUCAGGCAGGAGGAACACUGAUAUUGGAGUGCUCCUGCUGGAUCGGCCCAAGAAGCCGCUGCACUUCCUCCAUCACCCUGGAUGUCCUUGUGGCACUUCUGCUGCGAGAGGGUGCAGAAGGUGCCUGAUCUAGACAGGGCUGGAGAAAACAUAGGAAGCUGCCCGACCCUGAUCCUGAUCCCUUACGCAGCACUGUCAACAGUGCCCACCGCCCUGGCUCCAGGGCUUGAGGCAGGCCUCUGAGUCCUACCUGGAGAACAGAGAUCAAGCCAGGAACCAUCUGCACGUGAAGCGUGGGCUCUGCCACCAUGCCCCAUCACUUAGGGGCUGGGGCUGUAUCUGCAUAUCAGAUUAGCAGUGCAGCCACAGACUUACCCAACUAUUUUCCUGGAUGGAAGGGAGGGGGAAACCUGUUGUAACAACUCCACGGUUAGCAGUAGGAGAACAGAAUAUCCAUGCAUACACACGCAGCUGUGCCACUCUGGUUUGGCUCUCUCUCCCCUCUCAUGUGUGUAGAACCAUAGCACAGUAGAAAGGGCCAUGAAGGCCAUUGUGUCCAGUCCGCUGCUGUUGCAGGACACCAAUUUACACCAUCCCA